UUGCAGAUGAUGAGGAGGAGGGGGAGGGAGUGACUUUUUGACCUUGGAGGUCGUUUGUCAUGUUUCAAGGUCAUUUAUGGGUCACUUUUUUAUGGGUUCAUUCGGAGUGGAAAUUUCGUUUUGGAUAUUAACCUUGACAAGGUCAAAUACUGGUCUCCCUUAAAACCAAUUCACAAAUUUUCUCGGGGGUGUCUUGACCUUUUGGUACCCUUGUGUUUGACCUUGCAGUCCGGUCAAUUGAAGUUCAAGGUCAUUUUUUAGAGUGGAACCACUUUAAAAAAUUCAAAUCAAGAGCAAUUUACUUAAAACUUCUUGUGAUUAUAAAGAGAUCUAUUGUUAAUCGAUGAGAGAAGGUCGCAAGUUAAUUGGUCCAUUAUUUUUUAAGUUAUCAAUUUUUUUCCAAAAACAGUCCGGAAAUUAUUUUAAUUCAACUUUAAAAAUUCAUAAAAAAUUCAAAUCAAGAGCAAUUUACUUGAAACUUCUUGUGAUUAUAAAGAGAUCUAUUGGUUAUUAAUGAGAGAAGGUCGCAAGUUAAUUGGUCCAUUAUUUUUUAAGUUAUCAAUUUUUUUCCAAAAACAGUCCGGAAAUUAUUUUAAUUCAACUUUAAAAAUUCAUAAAAAAUUCAAAUCAAGAGCAAUUUACUUGAAACUUCUUGUGAUUAUAAAGAGAUCUAUUGGUUAUUAAUGAGAGAAGGUCGCAUGUUAAUUGGUCCAUUAUUUUUUAAGUUAUAAAUUUUUUUCUAAAAACAAUCCGGAAAUUAUUUUAAUUCAACUUUAAAAAUUCAUAAAAAAUUCAAAUCAAGAGCAAUUUACUUGAAACUUCUUGUGAUUAUAAAGAGAUCUAUUGGUUAUUAAUGAGAGAAGGUCGCAAGUUAAUUGGUCCAUUAUUUUUUAAGUUAUCAAUUUUUUUCCAAAAACAGUCCGGAAAUUAUUUUAAUUCAACUUUAAAAAUUCAUAAAAAAUUCAAAUCAAGAGCAAUUUACUUGAAACUUCUUGUGAUUAUAAAGAGAUCUAUUGGUUAUUAAUGAGAGAAGGUCGCAAGUUAAUUGGUCCAUUAUUUUUUAAGUUAUAAUUUUUUUUUUUAAAACAGUCCGGAAAUAAUUUUAAUUCAACUUUAAAAAUUCAUAAAAAAUUCAAAUCAAGAGCAAUUUACUUGAAACUUCUUGUGAUUAUAAAGAGAUCUAUUGGUUAUUAAUGAGAGAAGGUCGCAAGUUAAUUGGUCCAUUAUUUUUUAAGUUAUAUUUUUUUUU